rnacentral:rRNA from 1 species
UACAGAGGUCUCAAGCGUUGUUCGGAUUCAUUGGGCGUAAAGGGUGCGUAGGCGGCGCGGUAAGUCGGGUGUGAAAUCUCGGAGCUUAACUCCGAAACUGCAUUCGAUACUGCCGUGCUUGAGGACUGGAGAGGAGACUGGAAUUUACGGUGUAGCGGUGAAAUGCGUAGAUAUCGUAAGGAAGACCAGAGGCGAAGGCGGGUCUCUGGACAGUUCCUGACGCUGAGGCACGAAGGUCAGGGGAGCAAACGGG